GUCUAAAGGACCGCGGUCCUUCGGUGGCAAGACGCUUUUAAAUACAAGGCUAUUCUCAAAAUCUACCGGUUAUGUUGGUUUGGACACACAUUCGCAUUAGUUCGUCGCUCAAUCGCGAGUUACAGCCUGCAGUUUGCUAGCUAGCAAAGUCAUCGACUACCAUCGUUUAAAUACCUUGGCCAGAGCAUAACCGGUUAUCUUCACCCAAGAGACCUACUGUUGGUCAAUCGUUUUGGUUUUAAAGAACCAGGUUUCUCCCCAGUAAUCCAGACUCCACUUCACAGAGCCAAGAGUUUGAGUACAACUCGUCAAGUACUAAGCUUUACACCACCAGCAGCAAUUUACCCUGGCAGCAUAUGGGUGAAAACGCUGGAGGAGAAAGUCAUCGCUUUGUUAUUGGCCCUUGGACGCCCCUGGCAUCUCGUGUACAGCACAAAGUUUUCAGCUAUGAAGAUUUCCAGUGACUCCAGAAUAAAAACCAAGCUCUGAGGGAGGAGAACCAAGCCCUGAGGGAAUGCAAUGCACAAGCAGACCCAGGCAACCGCCAGAGAAAAUGAAGCAUUGUCAAGAAAUCUCGCAAGAAAUGGGAGUGACGUAAUCGGCGGCAAACGUUUCAUCCCCGCCAGCAGGACACACCUAUAGCCGACAGCUUAGGGUCGGCGGCAAAAAGAAGCCGUGCGGAUAUUUUUUGCUAUCUGGGUACAAACAAAUUAUAACACAAACACAAUAAUUGUUAAUAAUAUAAAUAGGUCAGCUCUGGGAUGAAAAUAAUGUGGAAACAGCACAACCUAGGGAGAGAAAAGCAAUGAAACUACGUCAGUAGUCUGAUGGUAACAAACUUUGUAAAAUACAUUGAGCGUUAAUGAAUUAGUGACUCAGAGACAGGAAGGUAUCAAGAUUUUGACU
ensembl:lncRNA